UGUGGUGUGGCUCAGUGGAUGAGCACUUGCCUAGCAUGUAUGAAGCCCUGAGUUCGAUCCUCAGCACCACAU
rnacentral:tRNA from 1 species